rnacentral:rRNA from 1 species
AAUUAACGCUGGCGGCAUGCGUAACACAUGCAAGUCGUACGAGAAAGCCCGGUUCGCCGGGCGAGUAAAGUGGCGCACGGGUGAGUAACGCGUGGGUAAUCUACCUCGGUCUGGGGGAUAACGCACCGAAAGGUACGCUAAUACCGCAUAAUCCGACGGACCCUUGAGUCUGUCGGGAAAGGUGGCCUCUACAUGUAAGCUACCGAACUGAGAUGAGCCCGCGUCCUAUUAGCUUGUUGGUGGGGUAAAGGCCUACCAAGGCGACGAUGGGUAGCUGGUCUGAGAGGACGGCCAGCCACACUGGAACUGGUACACGGUCCAGACUCCUACGGGAGGCAGCAGUGAGGAAUAUUGCGCAAUGGGGGAAACCCUGACGCAGCGAUGCCGCGUGGGUGAAGAAGGCCUUCGGGUCGUAAAGCCCUGUCAAACGGGAAGAACAGUCUGGGGGCGAAUAAUCCUCAGGCCUGACGGUACCGUUGAAGGAAGCACCGGCUAACUCCGUGCCAGCAGCCGCGGUAAGACGGAGGGUGCGAGCGUUAUUCGGAUUUAUUGGGCGUAAAGAGAGUGUAGGCGGUCGGUCAAGUCCGAUGUGAAAGCCCGGGGCUUAACCUCGGAAGGGCGUUGGAAACUGGUCGACUUGAGUUCGGGAGAGGGAAGCGGAAUUCCGGGUGUAGAGGUGAAAUUCGUAGAUAUCCGGAGGAACACCGGUGGCGAAGGCGGCUUCCUGGACCGAAACUGACGCUGAGACUCGAAAGCGUGGGGAGCAAACAGGAUUAGAUACCCUGGUAGUCCACGCGGUAAACGAUGGGCGCUAGGUGUGGGGGGGUUUUUAAUCCCUCCGUGCCGCAGCUAACGCAUUAAGCGCCCCGCCUGGGGAGUACGGGCCGCAAGGUUA